UACAUGGGGUGCAAACGUUGCUCGGAAUUAUUGGGCGUAAAGCGCGCGUAGGCGGUUACUCAAGUCGGAUGUGAAAGCCCUCGGCUUAACUGAGGAAGUGCACCCGAAACUGAGUAGCUAGAGUACUAAAGAGGGUCGCGGAAUUCCCGGUGUAGAGGUGAAAUUCGUAGAUAUCGGGAGGAACACCGGUGGCGAAGGCGGCAUCCUGGACCAAUAUUGACGCUGAGGAGCGAAAGCUAGGGGAGCAAACGGG
rnacentral:rRNA from 1 species